GCCACCCACCAGCUUUAAUGAUAGCAGGUUCCAAUGCUUCUUUUACUCUACUAUCCUUUAUUGCAUAAGAACCUUUCAUUUCUUCAAUCAAGAGGUUUCAAUCCGCGCCUCUCCAUCACUCGACUGACUGUCUCUGGGACUCCCUUCUCCAGGUAAAAACUUUCGCUUCUCUUAAGAGCCUCCGUUGCAAUAGUGUGAGCAUAGAUGUUUUUUUGCUUUUGGAAUAAAAGAAAACUUAAUCUCCUGGUAACAAUUUUUCCGGUUCCGAAUAUCUCUGAUUAUUGCUCCAAUGACCGAUCUAUCUGUAAUGGAACUUUUACACUUUUUGAUAACUGUUUUUGCAUCACCCAUUAUCUCCAUUUUGUUGAUUCCCAAAUUAAUACCUAGAGUGAUUGCUUGUAAUCCUGCAUGAGCCUCCGCUGUGAAUGAAUCUUCGAUGUUGGAGUGGAGAACUGCUAAAGACGCAAGGAUUUCCCCUUCCCCACUCCAAACUAUUAACCCCGAUGCCGAUCUAAACGUCUGACUAUCAAACGCUGCAUCAAAAUGAACUGUUGCCCAUCCCCUUUUGAAAACCUGUUGAUAACAGUCAGAAGUAUGGAAGUUGAUUUCUACUGAACCAGAUAUACCAUAGUCCACAGCAGAAUAGUCGCAACUGCUCCUCGUUUCCUUGACCAAAGAUUCCGGUGAGCCAUCUCCAUAAAUCCUCAUUAUUGUAGUUCAGUAUCCACGAAAGAUUAAGAUGAUACCAGACCUCAAUCACUGCAGGGCACUGUUGGAAAAUAUGGCGACUGCUUUCUUCUUCACACUCACAUCUGGGACAUUUAGUAUUCACCAAAACCCGCUUUAUUUUGAGAUUGAGAAAAGAGGGGAUAUAGUUCCAUGAAAUCCUCCAUAUAGUCAUUUUGAUUUUCGAUGGAAUUUGUAAUGUCCAUAGUUUCCUGUAAAAGCUUAUAGUUUCGGUAUGUAAAAAUAACUCAUUAGGAUCCAAAGUCAACUCAUGUAAUAGUUUAUAGGCGCUCCUAACUGAAAAUUCUCCGGUCGACUCCCCUUUCCAAACUUGAAGAUCUUCAUGUUCUGUCUCCGCCAAUGGGAUCCUCAAUAUUUUCUCCGCUACAACUAGUUUGAAGAUCAUCACAGAUGGAAAUCCUAUCACCUCGACCCACUCUCCAGCAUAGACCUUUUUCAAGCAGACCUUUCGCAGACUAAACACUUUUCCAGGAUUUCUUCCUCUUCGUCAUCAAGGGAUAGGGCUGCAAAGUCAGAUUCCAUGGUCGUUAUACGUGAAGAAUAGAAAGAGAAGAUUAUUCACAACACUGGAAAACUCAGCCGUCAAACCAAAAAACUAUUGAAAAAAAAGAAAACCUAGACUUCCCAGAAGGGCAGACAGAGACGAGCUAGGGUAGCAGACUUUUAUAAAAGACUUAAUAUAACAAUCGUAUUUAAGAGAUAAAAUUGCAACAUUUUAUCUGCUUAAAUCAAGAAUCUAUUUUAAAAAAUUAAUCUCUUAUUGGUUCAAUUUUUUUGUACAAAUAUUAUUAUUUUUUAAAGAGAAGUCUUUACGUCAA